UACAUCUCCAACUUACCCCACUCUCAAAACCUUAACCUCCCACUUUCUCGACCACCUCCCGUCUUCAAACUCAUCUUCCCAUCUUUAUUUAGGUUGUAACUGACAGAAACCACAACAUCUGGAAAUCAAAAACCAACUUAGUUCAGUUCUUUCAUUUUUUUUCCUAUCCCCAGCCACAGCCACUGUAAUCAAAACUAAUUACUUCCUUACAGAAAGAGAAUCAAAAUCUUAAGGCAAACUGGGUUUUUUAAUCUCUCACAGUUUUUUUGUUUUAAAGUCACUCAAAUCCUCUCGAAACAUCCGACCUGAUAAUGAUAACAAUGAUGACUGGAGAUAGCUUAAACCACGUUGUUGAUCAGAGAUGCAAGACUGAGUUAAACAAAUUCAUUGCUAGAGCCAAAAGAAACCACAAUAUCUGCACUGACGGAGUCUCCAAACCUGGAGAUGAAGGGGAGUUUGUGAAGAUCUAUUUGUAUAGGAGACAUGGAUAGAAGUUUCAAAAAAAUUCUCCAACUUUGAGGUCUGUUUCAAGGAACAUGAGUCAAGGGUGUAAAUGAGGAUGCAAUAAAGGAAUCUGUAGGGGCAAAUAGAGUUACUACAGAUAUAUCUGCCACAGAGGUGAACCUAUGGCAGAAAGGAAAAGAAAGCCAAAGCCGCCAAACCAGAAGAACAACUGUGCAAUUGGAUAGUAUUAUUCUAAAGCCUAGAGUAUUUGAUAAAGCCGAAUGGUGCCUUUCAUUUCUAAGACAAUUUAUCUUGGAAUUUCAUGUGGAGCAGCCGGAAGGAAGAUUUGAAACAUAGGCGAAGACAUGUUUAAGUAUAUCAAGUCGUCAUCCUGAGCACUGACAAUUGCCAUACAACGGUAAGCAGAGAUAGAAUUCGCGUGGAUUCAAAUUCUGUUUUCUAAAAAAGCAGGUAUUGCAAUAGUUAAUGCUCAAUUUGAUUGUUGCUAGAAGGUUGGGUAUUGAUACAGAGCUUCAAUCAAUUGUAUCCAUCAUCAGCCAUUCCUGAAGCUGAUGUGGAAGCUUUCAGUAAGGCUCACUGGUGACCUCUUUUCGUAAGCAGCUUUCAGUGAAGCACCUUCAGUAUUCUAAAUCACCUAUUAGAAGUUGCAGGUCGUGAGUCGUUUCAUAUUUAUUUAUUGUAUCUUUUUGUUUUUGGUAUAGAAUUUUUAUGCGUGGACUUCGUGGAGAGUUUCCAGAGAAGUUAAGAAAUUUGAAAAUGCCAUAAUUGCUACCUGGAUAAUACGUUAGGUGUUGCAUAUUCUUUGUACUUAUCAAGAUUCGUAACAUUCAUACAGAUGCGUUAUAAGAACACGGUGUAGAUUUCAUGCCUUUCUGAUUAUCCUUCUUCCUCACAUUGAGUGCUAAUUUGAAUGUUUGUGUAAGCAAAGUUUAACUCCAGGGUUGAUUCAUUUCAAUUUUAUGUAAAUCAUCUAAAGCUAU